GUUGCUGACUUGAAGGAUGUAGUUGUCAACUAAAAAGAACCAAAACUCAAGAUUAGCAUGGCCCCUGCACAAGGAUGGCACGCAAAUUCAUGAAGCAAAGACCUUUAAC
ensembl:snRNA U6 U6 spliceosomal RNA